AAAAGAUUGGGAGCAACUUGAUGACAGAGAACAGGAAAAGGGUCGCAGCAUUAGGAAGGUUGAGAACCACUGAACUAGAGGAUUACGUUAACGAAUGGCGGCCGGCAAUCCAAUAUCUCAACAGAAAAAGACAUCCUCAGGCCUUGGUCUUUGCAGCGUCCUAUCAGCUCCUUGGCCAGCUGGUGCUGGAAGUCUCACGCCUGGCGCAUGGCAGCAUCCCGCUCCCGCUGGAGUGCCUUCUGGGUUUGGCACCGUUCAGCCUCCUUCCAGUGUAGCAGCUGCCGGAUAUCAGCCUCACGCUCCCGCAGUCCGGCCUCCUUCAGCUUGUGGAGCUCACGGGUCCUCUGCUGCUGAUACUUGGAGCGGAUCUUUUCGACCAGUAACUUUUGCUCCCUCUCUGCUUCCUCACGUAGCUCUCGGGCCUCCGGGGUAUAGUGGCGCCAGGCCUCCUGGGAGAAGAGACGCUCUUCCUCCACUUCUGCCCACAGGGCCUGCAGUUUCUGGCGGUGGUCUUUCUGGAAGGGGGCCGAGGAGGAGGCCGAAGCGGGGAACGCAGCGAAGGACAGCCACCUCUCCCUCCUUUCGGUCCUCUGUGAGGGAGAAGCCAGGCGAGGCCUCAGGCAUUGGUGCCUUCCCACUUCUGACUGAAGGACCAUCUUAGUCAUGUUCUCGGGGGGAAAAAGAGUUCCUGAGGGUAUCUACAGGGAGACUCCUGACUGUUGCAUCUACCUGGGCUUACAUUUCAAGAGACUGAUCCAGGAGCACUCCCAAGCUGCAACAGUCUUUCAGGGGAGUUGAACCCCAUCCAGGACUGGUUGACACAUCUCCAUCCCCAGGUUAGGACCCUUGAUGACAAAUACCUUUAUCUAGUCUGGAUUCCAUUUCAAUUUGUUUUUCUUCAUCCAGGCAUUCGUUCAGAGGAGACACGCUAUCCUUAGCUAGAGCUGUUUUGGAAGGCACAGAGAAACAUAUUUGGGUGUCACCAGCUUAUGAGGGAUUUGAUAAAAUUAGAGCUUGGAGCAAAAAGAUAAAGCUUUCAAAAUGAAUGUCUUGCUACUACUUGUGAUGUAAUUCGUAAAAAAAAAAUCAGAAGAAAGUAUUCUGAAUAUGUCUUUCCCAUUAAGUGAUAUUCUCAGGUAAGUAUCUACAGCUCUUCUUCUUAAACUGUGGGUCCCUUAACUCAGUGUUGUGGUCACAAAAUGUUUGGCAACAAAAAUGACUUCUGAACACUAUCUAGUGUCUGUUUUAGACAUUUACAUGAAUC
rnacentral:lncRNA from 11 species